rnacentral:rRNA from 1 species
GCACAAGCGGUGGAGCAUGUGGUUUAAUUCGAAGCAACGCGAAGAACCUUACCAGGUCUUGACAUCCCCUGACAACCCAAGAGAUUGGGCGUUCCCCUUCGGGGGACAGGGUGACAGGUGGUGCAUGGUUGUCGUCAGCUCGUGUCGUGAGAUGUUGGGUUAAGUCCCGCAACGAGCGCAACCCUCGCCUCUAGUUGCCAGCAUUCGGUUGGGCACUCUAGAGGGACUGCCGGCGACAAGUCGGAGGAAGGUGGGGAUGACGUCAAAUCAUCAUGCCCCUUAUGACCUGGGCUACACACGUGCUACAAUGGGCGGUACAAAGGGCUGCGAACCCGCGAGGGGGAGCGAAUCCCAAAAAGCCGCUCUCAGUUCGGAUUGCAGGCUGCAACUCGCCUGCAUGAAGCCGGAAUCGCUAGUAAUCGCGGAUCAGAAUGUCACGGUGAAUACGUUCCCGGGUCUU